rnacentral:tRNA from 1 species
GGCGGACGUAGCCAAGUGGACCAAGGCAGUGGAUUGUGAAUCCACCACGCGCGGGUUCACGUUAAAAAGAACGGA